AUUGAACGCUGGGGGCAUGCCUAACACAUGCAAGUCGAACGGCAGCAUGCUCUGUAGCAAUACAGAGUGAUGGCGAGUGGCGGACGGGUGAGUAAUACGUAGGGAUCUGCCUUGAAGAGGGGGACAACCCGGGGAAACUCGGGCUAAUACCGCAUGAUACUCUAAGGAGGAAAGGGUUGGCGCAAGCCAGUCGCUUUAAGAGGAACCUACGUCCGAUUAGCUAGUUGGUAAGGUGAAGGCCUACCAAGGCGGAGAUCGGUAGCUGGUCUGAGGGGAUGACCAGCCACACUGGGACUGAGACACGGCCCAGACUCCUACGGGAGGCAGCAGUGGGGAAUAUUGGACAAUGGGGGCAACCCUGAUCCAGCGAUGCCGCGUGUGUGAAGAAGGCCUUCGGGUUGUAAAGCACUUUAGUUGGGGAAGAAGGCUUGCGGUUGAAUAGGCCGCAAGAUUGACGGUACCCAAAGAAUAGGCACCAGCAAACUCUGUGCCAGCCGCCGCAGUAA
rnacentral:rRNA from 1 species